AUUAAUUUAAACACAACAUAAGGCGACUAACCCAUUUUAUCUGGCCUAAGGCUUGCCUAGGCGUUAUUUAAACCGUAAAAGAAGGUGGACAUGCAUAUUAGUUUCCAGUUUUUAAAUGGAGCUUGUUUACCAAAUUAGCGAAGCAUUCAACAGUUGCAAGCAAAAAAGCCCUAAGUACAGGAUAUCUAAUGCACACAAAGGUCCUAAGACAUGGUAUCUAAAUGCAAUGGUAAUGACAUUGAUUAUUAACUGAUUGUAAUUAUGAAAAUGUACAUAAUAACAGAUUGAGGGUAAGAGACCUAGGAACAGGAUUUCUACAUGCGAGAUGCAUGUCCUAAACAUGGUGUCUAUUGCACAAAUAAGUAAGUAAAGCCUUAUGAACAGGUUUUCUACCCAUUCCCUUAACUAAGAAUGCAUAACCCUCCAAAAUUCACUAUAUACGCCACUAUUCUAUACAAAUUAUUACAGCCCAAAUAAUUAAUAAUACAACAGUGAUAAAAAAUACGCAGCUAUUCUAUAGGGAGCUUACAGCCAGGCCCAAAACCUCCAACCUCACUUCUUUUGAGUUUUACAGCCUUUACCAAGGUUUGGGGUGCAGCAAAGUUCCCUAAGGGUUCAUUUAAACCCCUGGCCAAUACUAGACACCCAGAAUAUAUCAUUAUUGACAAGUGCACUUGUGGAAGUGUCAGCCUUGUGCAUCAAAGUUCAGUGGGUGCUCAAGGCUCCCAAGGCAAUGCUUACACUUAGGGGGCAGAACCUGAGUUCUAAGAGUAGUGAGAUUGUGACAGAGUUGAAAGCAGCUGAGAUACAGCUUGAGAGGAAAACAGUAAGAAAAGCUGAAAGAGUUCCUUUGAAAUUCAUUUGGACUGACCAGUUUCAAAACAAGAGGAUCACAUAAGCAAGGGAAAAGGGGAAGGGAACAAACAAGCAAGGAAACUACUCAUAUAUGAAACUACUCAUAUAUGUACAACAUAUCCAAGAAAGGGAAUCAGACAUGGCAAAUAAGGAGUCCUGCUCUUACUGCACCAAACUCCCAAACAAAAACAACCUCAGGAAGAGGUUUUAGGCUUAUCAAGCAGCCAAGCAGGUCCUAGAUACAUGCUAAUAGUGCACAAGGAAAAGGGAAACAGACAUUGAGACAGGGAAGGGGAUAGGGGAACUUGCUGAGUCAAAUUAGGCAGACUAAUAGGUACAUGCUAGUGGCAAUAAGAGCAACAGAACCAUAAGUAAAAGCACAUAAUAAACAAGGUGAAGUGAAAAACUAGUAGAAGCAUGUUGUUUUGGAAGUUGUAUCUUAAAUAGGUGACAUACCAGUUGCAGAUAAUAGAACAUAAUAGCAAUGAGCAAUAGUGCACAAAGGAGAGCAAAGUGUGUAGAGAGUGAGAGCAGUAGUUUGCAGAGAAUUAAGCAUCAGGCAAACCCAAAUAAACAAUACAGUAGAACCCCAGUAGUAGAAAUAAACAGCUAAGAAUACUCGAUCUUGGCUUUCAGCUGAUUGGGUGUUGUAUAGACACAAUAAAGAAAAAGAGAGAGAGCACUGGGUGUGUUUGAAAGAGAGUUCAGAGAGAUUGAACUCGUGUCUGUAUGUGUGUGAGAUAUGCAAUGUGUUGGUGUCUUAUGCAAAGAUAAUGGGGGUACUUAUAGUAUUGAAAAUGAGUAAACAAACAGGGCAACAAUCCAUAGUUAAGGAACUGGAUAUCAAUCAUAAUCAAAUUAGCAUAAGGACUCCCUUUUAAUUGAGGAAUCAAAGUCAAAUGGUAACAAGCAAAUGUUUUAAAAGGAAAGAAAUAAGUUAGACUACUGCAUCUAUCAUAGUAGGAGUAGUAAAGCAUGUAAUAUGUAAUAAGGUCUAAAUACAUAGUUUCAAGUAAGGAAAAUAUAUAUUGAAUACUUGAAAGCAUAUCCAUGCACAUAAAUAUGGUAAAAUAAAAAUUAACUCUGAAAAUUAGUCAAAGAAUCAUAGAUGAGACUAAAAUCACAAGGGAAUUAGUUCUAAGUAAGGAAAGCAUAUCACAAAUAAGGAAGUAAUUUAAAAAAAACAGUGUAAAAUUUCAAAGGAAAAACGCAUACAGAUUAAGGAUUUGCAGAGAUGCACAAAAUCAACAAGAUAUUAGGUAAACGAUGGACAAUCAUGAAAAUCAGAGAACCCUAAGUAAGAAAGUCAGACUCGACAGAAGUCGAAACCCUAGUAGAAAACUUAAAGCAUGGAACUCGGCGCAACCAGAAGAUAACACAGACAACACAUAACAUAAACAUAACCACAUAAUACUAAAGAAGAAUCAGAAAGUAUAGCGCUUUUUCAAAAGGGGUCAGAAACUCUAGUUUUGAAAAAGAGAAAAUUUGUUGGAAAACUUGAGUUAAUCGGAGAUACUGAGUGAGAAGUAGUUUAGAACACUAGAAAUCGUUCGAAAAGACAGAGACUAAAGAGAUUUAGGCAAAAAUUAGGGUUUUCAAAAUAAAUUGGGGAAAUGAGAAACCUGGACGUGAAACUUGUUAAUAACGCCAUAUAAGGCAUCAUCGGAGAAAACUCACUGGAGAAAGGCCGACAACAGACCUAAGCUUCAGAGACCGUCUUUCAUGGUGGAAGCUCCUAGGCUUCAAACUUUAGAGAGAAACAACGUGAUGAGGCUUCCAUGGUGACUAAAGAUCGAGAGAAGUGAGGGAGGAAUAUGGCCGGAGAGGCGACGAACUUCAUCGGAGAAGAAGGAGAGAAUCAGAAGGUUCUAGAGAGAAGGGAGAGCGUUUGUUAGAGAGAGAGACCGUCUGUGUGAAUGAUGUUUUGGG
rnacentral:lncRNA from 1 species